AACGAACGCUGGCGGCAUGCCUAACACAUGCAAGUCGAACGAGACCUUCGGGUCUAGUGGCGCGCGGGUGCGUAACGCGUGGGAACCUGCCCUUAGGUUCGGAAUAACUCCCCGAAAGGGGUGCUAAUACCGGAUAAUGUCUUCGGACCAAAGAUUUAUCGCCUUUGGAUGGUCCCGCGUUGGAUUAGCUAGUUGGUAGGGUAAAAGCCUACCAAGGCGACGAUCCAUAGCUGGUCUGAGAGGAUGAUCAGCCACACUGGGACUGAGACACGGCCCAGACUCCUACGGGAGGCAGCAGUGGGGAAUAUUGGACAAUGGGCGAAAGCCUGAUCCAGCAAUGCCGCGUGAGUGAUGAAGGCCUUAGGGUUGUAAAGCUCUUUUACCCGGGAUGAUAAUGACAGUACCGGGAGAAUAAGCUCCGGCUAACUCCGUG
rnacentral:rRNA from 1 species